GUUACUUUAUACUUUGUCUUCAGUUUCUACUCUUUCUGUUUUUUCUCACAUGGUAUUUUUGUUCUUCUUUUUCAGAAACUUGUGCUCUGUUCCCAUGCCCCACAUCUAUAUUAAUGUCUCUCUCAUUGAGCAGAGCUGAGCAGUCAAGAUGAAGCUAAGAUCUAGAGCUAACAUUGUCCAAAUGGAUAUCAGAUGCCAACUGUACUUCUUUGAGUCACAGAGAACCAUCUGGUCAUCUGGGUUUGAUGUUGUCAUGAUGUGUUGUGAUAUUAUUAGACUGCUUAUCUUGAUGCACGAGAAAGAUACAGAUUUAAGAAUCAUACCAGAGCCAGGAUUAUGAUUCAAAUACCAUCAUUACUUCAUAUUCAGAUAAAAAAUAUGAACAAAAGAUUUUGUACACAAGAACAUAUUAAAAAAACCCCAAACUUUCCAAAAGGUAAUAGAAAAAAUAUUGGCAGCUGUCCUACAGCAUCAGAAAUACACGUGCUCUAAUGCUUCCUAAGGACUGCAUUCUGUAAGUGCCAACUACAAUCCUAAAUAUAUGACCUCAUUCAUAAAAGUAUGAUCUCAAAGCUCAUGCCCUGUAUCUAUUUUCUUUAAAUUAGCUGACAUUAAGCACAGAUUCCAUAUCUGAGGAAACCAACCUAGCUUUGAAGUGUUUGCAAUACUGCACCAGAAGCUGUUUUGAUUUUUACCACCAGGCUGCUAGAUAAAUUCUAAUCUCACCAUCAAUUAUGAAAGAUUCUUAUGACAACCUUGAUUUUACAAAAUUAGGUUAUCUUCCAGCCUGUGGACAUUUUCCUCUUGCAUUCUGGGUUAAUCCACGUGUAGAGCUCACUUCUGUCAGAAUGACAAAAACCAAUUGAUUUUGUUUCAUGGUGUAUUCUUAUCAAUGCUCUCUGCUGCUCUUAGCCAGUCUUUGACUGAUAGGGUGUUAGAGGAAAGGUCCAUUAAUUGAUUUGUAAAUAAUUACAGCUAAGUCUUCACUUUUGACUAG